rnacentral:rRNA from 1 species
AACGAACGCUGGCGGCAUGCCUAACACAUGCAAGUCGAACGAGACCUUCGGGUCUAGUGGCGCACGUGUGCGUAACGCGUGGGAACCUGCCCUUAGGUUCGGAAUAACUCCCCGAAAGGGGUGCUAAUACCGGAUAAUGUCUUCGGACCAAAGAUUUAUGGCCUUUGGAUGGGCCCGCGUUGGAUUAGCUAGUUGGUAGUGUAAAAGCCUACCAAGGCGGGGAUCCAUAGCUGGUCUGAGAGGAUGAUCAGCCACACUGGGAAUGAGACACGGACCAGACUCCGACGGAAGGGAGGAGUGGGUAAUAUUGGACAAUGGGGGAAGGCCUGACCAAGCAAUGCCGCGUAAGUGAUGAAGGCCUUAGGGUUGUAAAGCUCUUUUACACGGGAUGAUAAUGACAGUACCGGGAGAAUAAGCACCGGCUAACUCCGUG